UUUUUCAUGAAUUUCUGCUGCUUUGUUAUUUGUUUAGUUUGAAAUGUUUGUGAUGUUAGAAUUAGAUAGAAAGUGGAAUAAAGGGAGGAUGGUUUAAAAAAAAUGUGUGUAUCUCGGGUUCGAUAAAAAGCUUCUUGAACUCUUCAUUCAUCUGCAGGGGCGGACCCACGUUGAACUGAGGGGUUCAACUGAACACCCUGAAAAAAAAAUUUCCUACAUACCCCCCUAGAGUGAUUUGUUUUUGAACCCCUGAAAUUUGAAAAUUGCACCCCGGUCCCAGUCAACACUCAGUCACUCAUUCCUCACUCCUCUCUCUCUCUCUCUCUUCCUCACGCACUCACUCUCUCACGGUCUCAACUCUCACCUUCACGAUCCAGAGUUCCAGACCACCACCGGCCACCAGCCCACCACCACUACACCAGGCCCCAGCCACCACCACGGCACCACUCAUUGAUUCACGGUUUGACUGUUUCAGUGUUCACUCUUUUCUCUCUCUCUCAACGCUGCAACCCACCAGGCGGCAGCCACAGCCCACCAACGCCACCAGUCCACCACCACCGCCCACCGGCGGCCGCCCAACGCACCACCACUCUCUCUCUCUGCUGCUGUUGAAGACUUGAAGCUUGAAGUGAAAUUAGACUGGGAAAUAAGCUUGUUGUCUUGGUUUGAGAUUGGAAAUUUGGAAUGUGAAGGGAAAUGAAUUCAUCCAUCAGAUGAUCAGAACCCAACUCCCUCUUUCCCAUCACCAGUCAACUCAACACUCUUUGCUCUGCUGAACGCGGGAUGGACUAAUAGGCUUGUCUAUUUAAUCUUUGAGGGAAGAAAAAGCUCUGAUAACACCAGAUUUUUGUUCCACCAGAUUUUGAACCCCCUGACCCCGGGGUCCUGGAUCCGCCACUGUUCAUCUGGAUGUUGGUUACAGAUUUCUGAUCACUCCCAGAUGGGGCAUUCUGGCGCUGUGUUUUUGCUUCUCCUCAAAGUUUUCUAGAGAAAGAGUCAUCCAAUUUGGUAGCUCUGGGUACCAUUGAUGACAAUAAAUGGACUGAUGGCAUUGAAGGUAGUUUUUGGAUUAAAUAUUCUUCCCCUUUUGUCAAGCAAAUUCAUAUUUGCUAAUCUUUUAUUUUCAGAAUUCCCUUUUCCCUUCCAAAGAUUAGAGACGAGAGUGGAUUGUACAUGUUUAAACCUUUGAUUUUAUUUUUUCCUCUGUAUAAACUUCAUUAGCAAUUUAUUUUUAUGUCUUUGAAAAUUUUCAGUAUGUACUGACAAUAUAGAGGGUUGUCUCUCUUAAACAAAUAUCAAAUUCAACGUAGGUGCCCGACUCAGUGGCAGUCUGUUCAAUGGUUGCAUGCAAGUUUUCUUUUCUAACCUCAUAAGUUUCUGUUGAGUCAUCACCAACCUCUUCUUAUUCUUAUUGAAAUGUCAAUUUAUUAUUUUAUUUUAGUAACUGAAAAAUUAAUGAGAUUGUUUAUUAGAAAUUUAUAACGUUCACUCUUUAGUUGUCUGUUUAAGAUUAUAAAUGUAAUAUGAAAUUUUAGAUAGUGUAGUGAAUUGAUCGAAGGUAACAAUUGAAGAUUAGUUUAAUUUGCUGUGGAAGAUAAGAUUCUUCUGCAGUAGUUCAGGUCUAAUGUGUAUAAGAAUUUAUGCUCACAUUAGCUUUACAAUUAAUAUUUGCUGCCUAUUAAAUGGCCCUUUAGCUGAAUUUAUUUUUAUCACUUCCUAUAGCUCUGCCUUAGUUUGCUUUGCACCAUUGACUUAGGUCUACUGCGGUAGUUGAUUUUCCUCUGUGCAAUUUGUGAUUCUGGUGCUAGAGAUUUUAUCAUUCUCCCCUCUUUUUGCUUGCGUGGGUGAUAUUUAUUGUGCUUGCUUAUACUCUUUACUGAUAUAGUUUUAAUUUGCGUGGAAUGAUGCAUCAGAAAGAUGAAUUUGCUAAUACAAAGAGUCAUAGUAGUUAUCCUAAUAUGCAAGGGCCAGUAAAUACAAGUUAUCCUCUAGGUGUUUCCUUUAAUAGACCUCAAGGUAGACAGAUGCCCAUGAUGCAAGAAUGCAGUAUAAUCCUUAUCAGCUAUGGGCCUUUUUU